rnacentral:rRNA from 1 species
GACGAACGCUGGCGGCGUGCUUAACACAUGCAAGUCGAGCGGGAUCCAACCGGUGGCAACACCGGGGAAGAUCUAGCGGCGAACGGGUGAGUAACACGUGAGCAACCUGCCCCGAAGACUGGGAUAACACCGGGAAACCGGUGCUAAUACCGGAUGUCGUCAUUAGGCCGCAUGACCUGAUGAUGAAAGGAUUCAUCGCUUCGGGAGGGGCUCGCGGGCUAUCAGCUUGNGGUGGGGUAACGGCCUACCAAGGCGACGACGGCUAGCUGGUCUGAGAGGACGACCAGCCACACUGGGACUGAGACACGGCCCAGACUCCUACGGGAGGCAGCAGUGGGAAUCUUGCGCAAUGGGCGAAAGCCUGACGCAGCAACG